AACACGGCGAACCAAUGGGCAAAGUUCAACGGACGUGCGCACACGAUUCCAGGAAGCCGAUGCAUUUCUCCAUAUCGUUUCGUUCACUCUUCUUUAAGUACGGUGCGAUGCGUUCACGUUGAUCAAGGCAGGGGAAAAGAAGCGUGGAACAGAGGAGAAGCAGCAAAGGGUGGCGAACACCCCUAACGACACUCGCGACGCGUCUCGACUCGUUCGAAGACUCGUCGCAGCGACUCGUUCGCAGAAUUUCUGGUUCACCGAUGACCACCGUGACAGUCGUCGUGUUAGCAACGAACCACAAAUAGCAAGACGCGACUAUGUACGAAGCGACGAUGCAGAAAGUAGUUAGAUGACAGCUCUAUAAGGAAGAGGUACAAGGCGAUGGAUGAUGUCAAACGAAGGAAGAAGACAGCGGCAGAGUCUGACGCGAGCAGAGCCCGCAAACUUUCCCACAGAGUCUCGAGGGUAGAGUUUCAGUCGCAUUAGACUGGUAAAUUCCGAAUCCAGCCUUCUACCGUGAGGAACAGCCUCGCCCUUGCCAACGAAGACUUGGAAACUCCUUUUCCAUCCCUCUCCUUCGCCCAUUUCUCGUCCAGCCUCAAAGAGGUCGGUUCUUCGAGACUUGGAAGAGCAAUAUAACAAGAGGGACCAAGCAAGGGUAUCGAGGAGGGUUGGAACGGGCGGUGUAAGAGCUUG
rnacentral:misc_RNA from 1 species